UUGACCAUGAGACAAUGCUACAUUUAGAAUGCUCUCUGUAUCCCUACAAUCUUAUAAGCACCAGGAGGUUACAACUCAUGGCUGGAAAGGAUGGACGGUGAUAUUGCUGGGAGCAAGGCCUCAAAAGUCAUCUGACUCGAUGCUUCUGAACUGGGACUCGGAGACGUGGCCGAGGCCGCCGGGAAAAGAACAAACUGUAUCGGCGUCGUGCCGAGAAGCGCGAGCGUUCGAGAACCUAGAGAUCGUGGCCGAUGCUUGCGGAAUUUCCAGUCCACUACCCGACGAUCAUCCCAUCUCCAGGCCGUGGCCCGUGACUUAUCUUUCGGAUGACUGGCGACGUGAAUCCACGUUGGACCUGAAAUGAGUCGGCCUCGGAAGGCCCCGUGAUCGCCGGUUAUCCUCUUAGUGAGCUACAAUAAAGAACACCAAAAUCAA